CUUCCCUUAUGUGCAUCAGUUUUGCAGAGACACCAGACUUUUUAAAAUGUCAUUAAAUAAGUUUUAAGCUAGAACCGUUUAGAGAAUCUGGAAAAUUUACUAUAAGUAUUCAAUACUUUUUCUCCUCAUGUAAGGAAGAUAUGGUGGUUUGGCACUUAGCAUCCAUCUUAAACUCCUUCUUGUACUGCAGUGGCCAGAAAUUUUUAAGCCACAUUUAUCAGACCCUUGCAGCUAGGAGGCCAGAUGUGAGUUUGAUUCUGCUAAUUAGAUGAACUGGAGAGAUCUGGGAGGCAGUAAGGAGACAGAAGUCACCUUCCUGCUUCUUUGAUGCUUUCUGAUGCCUCGUGAGGUCAUAAACGCUCCGGCCAGGAGCAGCUGGGGUGGGCAAUAGCUUUCCUCUUGCAACAGCACGGCAGUGUCUGGUCACCGGAUGCAUGGAUGUCAAGAAGCAAUUGUGGCAAUGGGAGUGGCAGCAGGAAUGAUCCCUGAACCAUAGCUCCCUAUCCUGUUAUGCAUGGCAUGUCUCUCCUGACCUCUAAUCACACGUGCGUCUCAAGGGUGGACCUCAGUUUCAGCUGCUGUUGGAGAACACUUGCAGACCAAUUGUGAACUUACAGAUAAGGAAACUGAGCUCCGAGAAAUUAAGAAACAUGAACGAUGACAUCUAUGAAGUCUGGCUCUGGAGCUCAAGCUCCAGAUGACUGCCCUGAAUUGCCUCACCUUUACAAGGCACCCAAUAAAACCUGUUCAAUAAAUGAAUCAAGGAAAUAUGGCUGAC